rnacentral:rRNA from 1 species
GGGCUCGUGACCCGGUCUACCACCGGGAUGUUCAUAACCCUUUGUUGUCCGACUCUGUUGCCUCCGGGGCGACCCUGCCUUCGGGCGGGGGCUCCGGGUGGACACUUCAAACUCUUGCGUAACUUUGCAGUCUGAGUAAACUUAAUUAAUAAAUUAAAACUUUUAACAACGGAUCUCUUGGUUCUGGCAUCGAUGAAGAACGCAGCGAAAUGCGAUAAGUAAUGUGAAUUGCAGAAUUCAGUGAAUCAUCGAAUCUUUGAACGCACAUUGCGCCCCCUGGUAUUCCGGGGGGCAUGCCUGUUCGAGCGUCAUUUCACCACUCAAGCCUCGCUUGGUAUUGGGCAUCGCGGUCCGCCGCGUGCCUCAAAUCGACCGGCUGGGUCUUCUGUCCCCUAAGCGUUGUGGAAACUAUUCGCUAAAGGGUGUUCGGGAGGCUACGCCGUAAAACAACCCCAUUUCUAAGGUUGACCUCGGAUCAGGUAGGGAUACCCGCUGAACUUAAGCAUAKCAMAARUCSGRRGAAUCGUCAGUGC